UGGGGAAUUUUGGACAAUGGGGGAAACCCUGAUCCAGCCAUCCCGCGUGUGCGAUGAAGGCCUUCGGGUUGUAAAGCACUUUUGGCAGGAAAGAAACGUCAUGGGUUAAUACCCCGUGAAACUGACGGUACCUGCAGAAUAUGCACCGGCUAACUACGUGCCAGCAGCCGCGGUAAUACGUAGGGUGCAAGCGUUAAUCGGAAUUACUGGGCGUAAAGCGUGCGUAGGCGGUUCGGAAAGAAAGAUGUGAAAUCCCAGAGCUCAACUUUGGAACUGCAUUUUUAACUACCGGGCUAGAGUGUGUCAGAGGGAGGUGGAAUUCCGCGUGUAGCAGUGAAAUGCGUAGAUAUGCGGAGGAACACCGAUGGCGAAGGCAGCCUCCUGGGAUAACACUGACGCUCAUGCACGAAAGCGUGGGGAGCAAACAGG
rnacentral:rRNA from 1 species